rnacentral:rRNA from 12 species
UGAAUUGCAGAAUCCCGUGAACCAUCGAGUCUUUGAACGCAAGUUGCGCCUGAAGCCAUUAGGCUAAGGGCACGUCUGCCUGGGCGUCACGCAUCGCGUCACCCCUCCCCCAAUUCUGGUGGACGGGGUG